rnacentral:lncRNA from 1 species
UUGUCAUUCAUCUCCCUGUGAUAGUAUAUGGAGAUCAUUUUCUGAAAGAAAAUACGAGGCAUGCUUUCCAGAUUGUCAGAGAAUAGUUUCAGCCAAAGCUCUUCAGCUUCCUCAAGUCUUCCAUCCUCACCCAAGGCGUUUAGCAGCGUGAAAUAGCUCCCCAUUGUUCUCCCUUGACCCUUACUCCCAUCCUCGCUCAAGGCGUUUAGCAACGUGAAAUAGCUCCCCAUUGUUCUCCCUUGACCCUUACUCAACAUCCACUUUGUCACCUAU